AGGUAUGCUUAGGGAGGAGCUUGCGUCACAUUAGUUAGUUGGUGGGGUAAAGGCCUACCAAGACUAUGAUGUGUAGCCGGGCUGAGAGGUUGAACGGCCACAUUGGGACUGAGACACGGCCCAAACUCCUACGGGAGGCAGCAGUAGGGAAUUUUCGGCAAUGGAGGAAACUCUGACCGAGCAACGCCGCGUGAACGAUGAAGUAUUUCGGUACGUAAAGUUCUUUUAUUAGGGAAGAAUAAAUGAUGGAAAAAUCAUUCUGACGGUACCUAAUGAAUAAGCCCCGGCUAACUAUGUGCCAGCAGCCGCGGUAAUACAUAGGGGGCAAGCGUUAUCCGGAAUUAUUGGGCGUAAAGGGUGCGUAGGCGGUUAAAUAAGUUUAUGGUCUAAGUGCAAUGCUCAACAUUGUGAUGCUAUAAAAACUGUUUAGCUAGAGUAAGAUAGAGGCAAGUGGAAUUCCAUGUGUAGUGGUAAAAUGCGUAAAUAUAUGGAGGAACACCAGUAGCGAAGGCGGCUUGCUGGGUCUUUACUGACGCUGAGGCACGAAAGCGUGGGGAGCAAACAGGAUUAGAUACCCUGGUAGUCCACGCCGUAAACGAUGAGUACUAAACGUUGGGUAAAACCAGUGUUGAAGUUAACACAUUAAGUACUCCGCCUGAGUAGUACGUACGCAAGUAUGAAACUUAAAGGAAUUGACGGGACUCCGCACAAGCGGUGGAUCAUGUUGUUUAAUUCGAAGGUACCCGAAAAACCUCACCAGGUCUUGACAUGCUUCUGCAAAGCUGUAGAAACACAGUGGAGGUUAUCAGUUGCACAGGUGGUGCAUGGUUGUCGUCAGCUCGUGUCGUGAGAUGUUGGGUUAAGUCCCGCAACGAGCGCAACCCUUAUUGUUAGUUACCAGCACGUAAUGGUGGGGACUUUAGCAAGACUGCCAGUGAUAAAUUGGAGGAAGGUGGGGACGACGUCAAAUCAUCAUGCCCCUUAUGACCUGGGCUACAAACGUGAUACAAUGGCUGUUACAAAGGGUAGCUGAAGCGCAAGUUUUUGGCGAAUCUCAAAAAAACAGUCUCAGUUCGGAUUGAAGUCUGCAACUCGACUUCAUGAAGUUGGAAUCGC
rnacentral:rRNA from 1 species